GAAAUGCGAUAAGAAGUGUGAAUUGCAGAAUUCAGUGAAUCAUCGAAUCUUUGAACGCACAUUGCGCCCCUUGGUAUUCCAUGGGGCAUGCCUGUUCGAGCGUCAUUUGUACCCUCAAGCUCUGCUUGGUGUUGGGUGUUUGUCCCCGUCUCCGCGCGUGGACUCGCCCCAAAGUGAUUGGCAGCCGGCGUACUGGUCCCGGAGCGCAGCACAUGUCGCGCAAACGAGUGCCUUGGUACGGCGGCGUCCAUAAGCCCCUCUCUCACGCUCUUGACCUCGGAUCAGGUAGGGAUACCCGCUGAACUUAAGC
rnacentral:misc_RNA from 1 species